rnacentral:rRNA from 1 species
AGACCCGAAACCCGGUGAUCUAGCCAUGGGCAGGUUGAAGGUUGGGUAACACUAACUGGAGGACCGAACCGACUAAUGUUGAAAAAUUAGCGGAUGACCUGUGGCUGGGGGUGAAAGGCCAAUCAAACCGGGAGAUAGCUGGUUCUCCCCGAAAGCUAUUUAGGUAGCGCCUCGUGAAUUCAUCUCCGGGGGUAGAGCACUGUUUCGGCUAGGGGGCCAUCCCGGCUUACCAACCCGAUGCAAACUGCGAAUACCGGAGAAUGUUAUCACGGGAGACACACGGCGGGUGCUAACGUCCGUCGUGAAGAGGGAAACAACCCAGACCGCCAGCUAAGGUCCCAAAGUCAUGGUUAAGUGGGAAACGAUGUGGGAAGGCCCAGACAGCCAGGAUGUUGGCUUAGAAGCAGCCAUCAUUUAAAGAAAGCGUAAUAGCUCACUGGUCGAGUCGGCCUGCGCGGAAGAUGUAACGGGGCUAAACCAUGCACCGAAGCUGCGGCAGCGAACGUAUCACCCAAGACAACUUUACGGAGUUGACGAUUGACGGAGCGAAGCGACGUCAAAGCGUUCAUUAAAGUCGAGUUGGCUUAGGGAUACGUUCGUUGGGUAGGGGAGCGUUCUGUAAGCCUGUGAAGGUGUGUCGUGAGGCAUGCUGGAGGUAUCAGAAGUGCGAAUGCUGACAUAAGUAACGAUAAAGCGGGUGAAAAGCCCGCUCGCCGGAAGACCAAGGGUUCCUGUCCAACGUUAAUCGGGGCAGGGUGAGUCGACCCCUAAGGCGAGGCCGAAAGGCGUAGUCGAUGGGAAACGGGUUAAUAUUCCCGUACUUGGUGUUACUGCGAAGGGGGGACGGAGAAGGCUAUGUUGGCCGGGCGACGGUUGUCCCGGUUUAAGGGUGUAGGUGUGUGUUCCAGGUAAAUCCGGUUCACUUUAACACUGAGGCGUGACGACGAGGCACUACGGUGCUGAAGCAACAAAUGCCCUGCUUCCAGGAAAAGCCUCUAAGCAUCAGGUAACACGAAAUCGUACCCCAAACCGACACAGGUGGUCAGGUAGAGAAUACCAAGGCGCUUGAGAGAACUCGGGUGAAGGAACUAG